rnacentral:lncRNA from 1 species
AACCAACUGCUUUCGGGCCAUGAUAUCGACCAAUCCAAUUUUGUUGUUGUGUGCCAUUGCCUUUUGACUUUAUGUUGUAAAAGGAAUUACCAGUUUAAAGCCACAAACCAACCACCUUCUUCAAUGAGUAUAACAAAAUGAAGCAAUCAUGUUAGCGUUAGGGCAUUUAACAUAAGAUAAUUUCACUUUAUGCAAUGCACCUAGCCACAAUUACCGGUUCUAACAUGACUUCGAUGGUAUGAACUUCAUAUGGCAUCAUCCCAAUUUGUUUUUUUUUCAACCUCUCUUUUCUUCGCUUUUCUAGCACUUGCUUGCUCAUUUACCCUCCUCUUCUCUCUGCUGAUUAUCACUCUCUUCUUUCCUCUCAUUUCUAACAUCCCAUGAUUUCACCCCCUUUUUCUUUUUUUUCUUUUUUCUUUUCUUUUUCCUUUUAAUAAAAAAAAUAAUUCGAUCGAACCGUAUGUAGGUUGCGUACGUAUCAUGACCCCGUAUGAAUAAGAUCUUUGCGUAGUUCUGGAAGAUCGAGAAUGGAGCACAUAAACUAACUCAUUUUUUAUUUAUUUGUAUAUAGAUCAAACCAUGAAAGCUCUAAGAAACAAAAAAAAUAUCUUUUUUUUGAAAAUCAACUUGAAACCAUGUCAAUCCACCAAAACCAUCUGAUACUAAGCAACAAAGAUACAAAUCCAACCUUAUCUAACUCUUGACCNNNNNNNNNNNNNNNNNNNNNNNNNNNNNNNNNNNNNNNNNNNNNNNNNNNNNNNNNNNNNNNNNNNNNNNNNNNNNNNNNNNNNCCUUUUCUAAAGAUAAGCUACUAGCUGACGGCCAAAUCAUUUACAAAAGAUGGUCACAUAUGUAAAAAUUGGUCAAUUCUGCAAUUGUAGACAGUCUCACAAUAACUGACAAAGUUGCAACCUAAUGGUAAUCUCCCGAGCCAUGUUCUUGAACAACUAAAGCAAUGGUAAUUCAACCAAACAACUUUGCAGCCUCAAUACACUUAAAGCAAUUUCCAUAAACAAUUGCAAACCUCAACAAAUCAUCCAAAAAAGUAGUAAUCCCAAAAAAAAAACUUUUUCUUUUCAUUCUUUACUUUCUCCUUUCUCUUCUUCUUUUUCAUCAUUUUAAAUUUGUUUUAAGGAUAAUCCAAAGUAACGAUAACUAAAUAUUAAAUACUACUAAAUUAAAAUAGCAAAAUCAGAUAGAAAAUAUAGUAACUAUAUUAAAAGAAAUUAACUACUCUAUUACUAAGUAUUUCCUAAAGCCUACAACUAAAAAAAUUACUAUACUAGAUAAAACUAUAUUUUUGGAAACUCUACUUUCUUUGUACAUGAAAAUAAAAUUAAUACUCAAAAAAUGUAACUCUUUUGUAGUUUUUUUUUAAAAUUUGUUAAAUAAACCAACUACAAAGUGAAAUAAAGACUAAAAUAUCGAGAUUAAACUUAAUAAAUAUAUUUACAUGCUAAAAAAUUGCGUGAAAAUCCAAAUAACACGGUAAAAACAAAAUAACUGCUCAACCUGGCAGAAUUUACUGAAAGCAAAUCGAAAUUUUAAUGCACUAAGCAAUAUUUUUCAGCUUGUAAUUCCAUGUUAACUGAAUCACCAAACAUUUGUAAUCAUCUUAGCAGAAAAAUCAGCUCACUAGACAACUGAUGCAAAAAGUGCAGAUUUUCAAAGUUGUUUCGACAACUUUCAAUAGCACUCUAAAACACUCUUAUUUGAGUUCAAAAUUCUUGAAACAAGCUCUAAUGUCCAAACCUAAUUUCAGGUUCACAAAAUAUUGUAGAAAAAUACAAAUAAUGCUUAGGGAACUUGUAUUACAUCAACAUAUUUCAUUUAAAUGUAAAAUUAUAAGAUACAAAUAGGCUUGCAGGUUCGCUAUUCAAUUUCUUCUCAAAACUCAGAACUUCAGCAACACCUUGAGUAGCAAGCUGGCAGGUUCGCUAAUCUAUUGCUUCUCAAAACUCAGAACUUCAACAACAUCUUGAGCACUAAAUUCAGCAGCAGUAGGCACAGAAAUUUUCAGCUCAGGAUGACAACUUCAACAGUAGAAAUAAAGCAUCGGAAUCACAACAAUAUUGAGUCAGAAUAGCCACAAAGUAUAGCUGAAUAGUGUAAGAUAUACGUAAAAAAAAACAGUUCAAAACUUGAAUUUCAAUAGUGUAUUGUUGGCAUAUAAACUGAAGCUAAACUGAAGCAAUGCGUACUUGGAUGCCAAAUAUGUUGUUGAUAAAUGCAGAACUUAGCACAUUAUAUAUAUAGAUUUUUACUAAUAUCCUGCUCUUCUCAAUUUUCAGCUGCUUAGGAAAAGAUCAACCUUGUAAAGAUCAAUAUUUACAACUAAAACAUGCUGGAAAAACACGUAUAAUAAUACUUCUAUAAGAUCCCAUUUUACAUCCACUUUGAGAACAUGAAUGUUAGAACAACUAACUCCAGACGUGUUGCAAUGUAAAAUAAUACAACAACUAAAAGAUCAAAUCACUCCAAGUAAAAAAAUAAUCUACGUCAAUACAUUACAAUCCACUUUAUUGUACUGUCAGAGCGAAGAAGAAAGCCAUUAGAGGAUAAUACAUUGUGGAGAUGAAACAGAACAAUACAGAACUACGGGUAGCAAGCACGAAAUCUUUGGCAGCAACAAUUAUUGCCCGGCAAACCUUUAACUUCUAUCAGCAGAUUCUAACCAACUGGAAAAUAGCUUAUGUAACAAGAGCGCUCAAUUCAACAAAGAGAACCCUUUUUUAGACGAAAAAAAUCAGAUUUUGACUAUCACUGAUGAACUCAAGCACAAUCUCAACAAACAUACAUUUUUGACAUAUUUAGCUUCCUAUAUGUUCAACAAAAUCACAAGUCAAGCAUGCUCAAUCUCUAGUCCCACUGAAUCCCCUCUAUUAAACUCAACAAUAACAACAACUAUUAGAAACCAGUGAUAGCAAGUUCAAAUUAGGAGAAUUUCAACUAUCAAUUUACUCCAAAAACUUCACAAAUAGUAGCAAACUUCAACAAGACAAGAUUCAGAACUCCACAGUCUUAUCACAAAGAUAAUUGGUGUUCAAUGUAAAAUUUUCUUUCAAACAUUGGCCCACGAAUAAUUCAUAGAUUGAAUUAAAAUCACAAAACCGUGCUCCAACAAACAAAGACUGAUCUCAAUAGAACUUUCGUCAGCAUAAAAGAAGUUUGACAAGAGAAUUCCAACUUGAACUCUAAGAAUUUAAAUAAUGGAUUCCAUUGACACAACUCAGUUCACACAAUUUCCAACAAGCAACUUCUGAAUUCUAAAACUACCUAUGUGGCCAAAAGUGACUUGAAGUGCAAAUUUUGGCUAUGACCCCGCAAAGCCAAGAAUCUAAGAUUUACUAGGAAGAUCGGACCCUAUAUGGGUUGCCUACGUAUCACGCCCCGAAAGACAAGAAUCAGGUUUGUGUAGUUCGGGCAAAUUGGGUACGGGCAAAAAUAAAAAAACAGCUAACUUUUAGAGAAACCAUGUUCUUUUGUUUUUCUUUUUGGAAAGUGAUGAAACAUGUAAACUCUUUUUGGAUUUUCUUUUUCCUUCUUUUUAGCGCAAAAUCUUUUUUUGAAUUUUUCAUGUAUAUAUUUUUUCUUUUUAAAAAAUAAAAUAAAAAUGUAACAAAAACAUAACUAGAUCCUCUUGCUUCAUUUUUACACUUCACCCUCUCUUUUCCUUUUUGAUUGUUUUUUUUUUUAAUUUUUUCAUUUACCCUCAACUAUCAUUGGUCCGCCAAAUGACUCUUUUACCCUUGAAUGAAUGCAACAUGUAGAACAUAGGAUGCAUCAAGAUGGUCUUUUAUUUUAGGGUAAACCUGUCCUAGACGGACCCAACCCCUAUGUUGAGUCCCCUAAGUCAAAUGCAAAUGAUUCAAAUAAGCGUUCCUACUAGGGAUCCGGAAUGAGGUCUUAUUAUACUAGAUUUAAAUCCUGGGGUUUUGAUCUAGACAUUGGGUACCCGAGCGGACAACUGGGGCCAAGAUGAGGGCGAUGUACCGGGAGCACUAAAGUCUUCCCAGUCUUGUCGCUUGCCCAUCCUCGCUCUAUUUUGGUAAAAUUUCUACAGAAAAAGCGGGCUACGCAAACGUAUGCAUCAUUUUCAGAAGACUCAGAAGGGGUGGCAUAAGAAAGCGAUUAUAUACAAUUCAACAAUAUUAAAGCAGUAAACAGAUAAUAACUUAGCACAAAGGUUCGCAAAAAUAUAAUAAUAUCAACAAUAAAUAAGCCAAGUAAAAAUCAUAAAACAAGAUCGAAUUCUUGAACCUUGAAUCUAAGUUCAUUCCCCAGCAGAGUCGCCAUAGCUGUCACACCUCCUUUUUCACUACUACAUCCCGGAAAAGGUAUAAUAAAGGGAGUUUUUCAAAUUUAAGUAACAAUCGAAACAGGAUUAAUUAUUAAAAGUCAGAGUCGCCACUUGGGAUAAUUUAUGGUGUCCCAAGUCACCGGUUUAAAAUCCCGAAUCGAGGAAAGAAUGACUCUGUUAUUAUAGUCUACGAAUAAUAAAUCCGGAUAAGGAAUUCUGUUAACCCGUGAGAAGGUAUUAGACACUCUCGUGUUCCGUGGUUCUAGCACGGUUGUUUUGACUAUACUAGGCUAAUAAAAUUGUUUAAUUACUGAUUUUGAACCUAUGUGCUUUUGCUUCUUUCACCGCUUUUAAUAAGAAAAUUAUCUUGAAACGGGUUACGUGUAUGUAUACCCGCUUGUUUGGCGCGUCAAAAAUCAUGUCACACGAACGUGUCCAUAAUUAAUAACGCUUUAUUUUUAUUAAGAAAAUUUGGGCCAAAGUGGUGCGAACGCAUACUCUGGUUUGGUUUUUAGAAGUGUAAUUGUGUUACACGGACGUAUACGCAAUCGCAUUAGUAAUUUUAAACGGACCUAAAGGAUAUCCUAUGAAAUUUUGUCAAUCUUGUAUCUAAUUUAUGAAAUUACUUAGAAGGCCCUAUGUUAUUUAAUAAACUUAUUUAAACUAAAGAUAAUUAAAACUUAUAACCAACUUUAUUAUUAAGAAAAGAUUGGUCGAAGUUGCGCGAACGCAUACUCCAAAUUAGUUUAGAAUUAUACUCGUGUUACGCGAACGUAUACGCAACUACAAUUGUAUUUUAAACGGUCCUAAAGGCUCACUACGAAUAUUAAUCAAUUUUGUAUCUACAUUAACACGAGGGCCAUGCAUUUGUCAUUUUCAUUUGACACGGUGCACCUCAAAUUUUCUAUAAAACUAUGAGAUUUGAACUAAUAUGCAGAGAAGGUAAUUGAGAUACUACAACAACUAAAAUUAGGUUAAUAUACAUAAACUUAAUUCCUACAACUCUCACUUCCAACAAUUAGAUAGCCAAUCAGAUGGAAAACGGUCUGUUAACACAUAAAAAUGAUUUUAGCCAUUUUAUCCCAUUAUAAAUGUAGCCCCUAUUGCGUUUCAAAGCCGUAGCCACUUAGCUUUUUAAAACCUAUUAAUUUUUAUGACUAAAGGAGGGAAUAGUAAUGCCAACACUAUAAUCUCAAUCAUUAACAAACGAACAUCAAUUUUUGGUCACGAUUAUUCAUAGAUUUAUGGAACAAUUUAUAAAAUCCAACUCUUGAAAGCAACAAGCAAUGUAUUUCUAUACCAAUUCCAAGCCCCUGCCCCACUGAUUCACUCAUAUUCACAAUAAGAGCCACUUGAUUCCAAAACGAUCAUACUGUGGGAAUAUAUAAGAACACCAAAUGAAAGCACUAGUAGAUUUCUAUAUUAUCUAAAUCAAAAUCAGGUAGCUAACUCGAUCCCACUGAUUUUUGGACCAUCAUAACAAUAACACAAUUCUAUAAUUUCAUAAACAGUAAAAUAGGAGAAAACCAAGUGAGCAAAUCAAACAUAUGCACUAUUUUCAAAUCAGAAAUUCACACAAGUUGAAACACGGACAGAAAUAGAAAGCUGGAACGACUGACCGUAUGGCAAUUACACCAACGACCAGAAUUCGAAUCGUAAACUCAAACGGACACAUAACGCAAUGACAGUAGCAAUUAAUUUCCAGCUUUAACCAAAUUUCGGACAUAAAACAGAGAUAUAAAGGAGAGGGGAUUGACCUGAGCAAUAUUACUUUAACCAAUUUGAUUUGCAAAGCAAUUACAAUUGGAAUCCAAACUGUAAUAGCAACAAAGAAUUCCACCGUGAACCUCGGAAGGCGACGAACCAGCUUUAAACCUCAAACUCGCAUCCAUUUUUUGAAACCAAAUCCGAAAUCAAAGAUGAUAAACAACAUUUUUGAGAAAACGACCAUAUGUAAUCUGAAAGAAGAUCGACUUUUACAAUCGCAACAAUUCUCAAAUCAUCAAGCAAACAAGAACCUUGAAUAGGGAAACCAAAUGACUCGCCGGAACCUCAAGGACGACCUCGGAUCUGCUAACGAAAAGUGGUCGGCUCGACCUAGACCAGACUAGAGAGCUUCUGACCAACCUGAAUCUCGACAAAAUUUCAAACUUGAACCCAAAAUCGAAGACAGAGUAACGACAACCCAAAAUCUGAAAAGGCGACGAGAAUUUUGAGGUCUGCUACUAUUUUUAAAAGAUGAAAAGAGGACGAGAGCUACUGGUUUGAACCCUUGCUUUGAAAAGAAUGGACAUUGGGCCUAACUCAACCCAAAAGCUAGCUUAUGAGGUGAGGAUUGCCCAAGCCAUAUAAGGAGACCAAGGACCUCAAAUCCCUCCGAUGUGGGACAACUCAACAUGCUUUGCCGGAUUCAAUGGAAGGCCACUGAAACUAUACAUUUUCCGGUGAGCUGGGUUUGGGUGUGCUGCUGAAAACGGCUGCUGUGAGGGAACAGAGGAGAUGGUAAAUGGAUAAAGGGCGAGGGUGGUGUGUCUGGUGUUGUGCGACUUAUUUUCCGACGAGGUGUCGUUUUGGUUGAAGAGGCAGAACGUUGGAGAGGGGUUUUUGGGUGUCCUCUGCGUAGCCUUUGUAUUGCAGGCGUAUAUUUUUGUUAUGUGUAUUUUCUUCAAGACUUAGGCAUUAGGUUUUUUAGGUGGGGAAAUGGUUUUUAGGUGUUGGAUCGGGUCGGGUCGAUCCGAUUU